AGGAAUAUUGCACGAAUGGGGGAAACCCUGAUGCAGCAACGCCGCGUGGAUGAUGAAGGCCUUCGGGUUGUAAAAUCCUUUUCUGAGGGAAGAUAAUGACGGUACCUCAGGAAUAAGUUCCGGCUAACUGCGUGCCAGCAGCCGCGGUAAAACGUAGGGGACAAGCGUUAUCCGGAUUUACUGGGCGUAAAGCGCAUGUAGGUGGCGCUGAAAGUUGGACGUGAAAGCUCCCGGCUUAACUGGGAGAGGUCGUUCAAAACUACAGCGCUUGAGGUUGGAAGAGGAGAGCGGAGUUCCCGGUGUAGUGGUGGAAUGCGUAGAUAUCGGGAGGAACACCAGAGGCGAAAGCGGGCUCUCUGGUUCACACCUGACACUGAGAUGCGAAAGCGUGGGGAGCGAACGGGAUUAGAUACCCCGGUAGUCCACGCUGUAAACGAUGGAUACUAGGUGUAGGAGGUCAUUAACCCCUUCUGUGCCGAAGCUAACGCGUUAAGUAUCCCGCCUGGGGACUACGGCCGCAAGGUUA
rnacentral:rRNA from 1 species